GAUGAAGAACGUAGCGAAAUGCGAUAAGUAAUGUGAAUUGCAGAAUUCAGUGAAUCAUCGAAUCUUUGAACGCACAUUGCGCCCCCUGGUAUUCCGGGGGGCAUGCCUGUUCGAGCGUCAUUACAACCCUCAAGCUCUGCUUGGUGUUGGGCCCCGCCGCCCCGGCGGGCCCUAAAAUCAGUGGCGGUGCCGUCCGGCUCCGAGCGUAGUAAUUCUUCUCGCUCUGGAGGUCCGGGAGUGUGCUCGCCAGCAACCCCCAAUUUUUUUCAGGUUGACCUCGGAUCAGGUAGGGAUACCCGCUGAACUUAAGCAUAUCAAUAAGCGGAGGA
rnacentral:misc_RNA from 1 species